UGCAAGAGUUAUAUCACCCUGCAACGCAUAACUGGCAACCCACAGCAGGUGGGUCAACAGGUGUGAGCCUGGCCAGUACCUGGAUGGGAGACCUCCUGGGAAAGCUAAGGUUGCUGUUGGAA
rnacentral:rRNA from 1 species